AGUAAAAUAGUCUAAUGGUAAGACAAUAAAUUUUGAUAAUUAAAGAUGAAAGUAAUUAUAAUUGAAGACAAUUUGCUUUUACUU
rnacentral:tRNA from 1 species